UGCAGUCGAGCGGAUGACGGGAGCUUGCUCCUUGAUUCAGCGGCGGACGGGUGAGUAAUGCCUAGGAAUCUGCCUGGUAGUGGGGGACAACGUUUCGAAAGGAACGCUAAUACCGCAUACGUCCUACGGGAGAAAGUGGGGGAUCUUCGGACCUCACGCUAUCAGAUGAGCCUAGGUCGGAUUAGCUAGUUGGUGAGGUAAUGGCUCACCAAGGCGACGAUCCGUAACUGGUCUGAGAGGAUGAUCAGUCACACUGGAACUGAGACACGGUCCAGACUCCUACGGGAGGCAGCAGUGGGGAAUAUUGGACAAUGGGCGAAAGCCUGAUCCAGCCAUGCCGCGUGUGUGAAGAAGGUCUUCGGAUUGUAAAGCACUUUAAGUUGGGAGGAAGGGCAGUAAGUUAAUACCUUGCUGUUUUGACGUUACCGACAGAAUAAGCACCGGCUAACUCUGUGCCAGCAGCCGCGGUAAUACAGAGGGUGCAAGCGUUAAUCGGAAUUACUGGGCGUAAAGCGCGCGUAGGUGGUUCGUUAAGUUGGAUGUGAAAGCCCCGGGCUCAACCUGGGAACUGCAUCCAAAACUGGCGAGCUAGAGUACGGUAGAGGGUGGUGGAAUUUCCUGUGUAGCGGUGAAAUGCGUAGAUAUAGGAAGGAACACCAGUGGCGAACGCGACCACCUGGACUGAUACUGACACUGAGGUGCGAA
rnacentral:rRNA from 1 species